rnacentral:rRNA from 1 species
CUACGGGUGGCAGCAGUGGGGAAUAUUGGACAAUGGGCGCAAGCCUGAUCCAGCAAUGCCGCGUGAGUGAAGACGGCCUUAGGGUUGUAAAACUCUUUCGCUAGGGAAGAUAAUGACUGUACCUAGUAAAGAAGUCCCGGCUAACUCCGUGCCAGCAGCCGCGGUAAUACGGAGGGGACGAGCGUUGUUCGGAAUUACUGGGCGUAAAGAGUUCGUAGGCGGACGGACAAGUUAGAGGUGAAAUCCCAGGGCUCAACCCUGGAACUGCCUUUAAAACUGUCAGUCUAGAGACCGGAAGAGGUUAGGGGAAUACCUAGUGUAGAGGUGAAAUUCGUAGAUAUUAGGUGGAACACCAGUGGCGAAGGCGCCUAACUGGUCCGGUACUGACGCUGAGGAACGAAAGCGUGGGGAGCAAACAGGAUUAGAUACCCCGGUAGUC